UGGGGAAUUUUCCGCAAUGGGCGAAAGCCUGACGGAGCAAUACCGCGUGAGGGAGGAAGGCUCUUGGGUUGUAAACCUCUUUUCUCAGGGAAGAACAGAAUGACGGUACCUGAGGAAUAAGCAUCGGCUAACUCCGUGCCAGCAGCCGCGGUAAUACGGAGGAUGCAAGCGUUAUCCGGAAUGAUUGGGCGUAAAGGGUCCGCAGGUGGCAUUGUAAGUCUGCUGUUAAAGAGUUUGGCUCAACCAAAUAAGAGCAGUGGAAACUACAAAGCUAGAGUGUGGUCGGGGCAGAGGGAAUUCCUGGUGUAGCGGUGAAAUGCGUAGAUAUCAGGAAGAACACCAGUGGCGAAGGCGCUCUGCUAGGC
rnacentral:rRNA from 1 species